AGUGAACGCUGGCGGUAGGCCUAACACAUGCAAGUCGAACGGCAGCACAGUAAGAGCUUGCUCUUACGGGUGGCGAGUGGCGGACGGGUGAGGAAUACAUCGGAAUCUACUUUUUCGUGGGGGAUAACGUAGGGAAACUUACGCGAAUACCGCAUACGACCUACGGGUGAAAGCAGGGGAUCUUCGGACCUUGCGCGAUUGAAUGAGCCGAUGUCGGAUUAGCUAGUUGGCGGGGUAAAGGCCCACCAAGGCGACGAUCCGUAGCUGGUCUGAGAGGAUGAUCAGCCACACUGGAACUGAGCCACGGUCCAGACUCCUACGGGAGGCAGAAGUGGGGAAUAUUGGACAAUGGGCGCAAGCCUGAUCCAGCCAUACCGCGUGGGUGAAGAAGGCCUUCGGGUUGUAAAGCCCUUUUGUUGGGAAAGAAAAGCAGCAGGUUAAUACCCCGCUGUUCUGACGGUACCCAAAGAAUAAGCACCGGCUAACUUCGUG
rnacentral:rRNA from 1 species